UAGAGGAGGUGGAGAGGGUUCUUCAAGGACUUUCAUCUCCUUCUCCCUCAAAGGCCUCCAACGGAGUACUUUGAGCGAGAUGAAGAGGGCAGCUCCUUAGUGUUGAAAUCCACGCAAUUGUCCGGUAAAUUUCUAAUGCUGACGUACGUACCCGGGACAUGCUUUGUUGUUCGAUGGAGUACCGGCUCUGCUGCAGAUGGUUUCAGUGCCGGGUCACAGUCUCCUGAAUCAUCCUAUUGCUUCAUGCUGUGACAGCUCCACUCCAUUCCGGUUCCCUCUCGUCAGCUCCAUCGAGGAUAUAGAUGUUCUUGUCUUCACGAAUGCUCAAUGGGAAGACUCGAUCCUUCUCCACUAUCAGAAAAUCUUUCUCUCAAAGUACACAUGUCCUUCCCGUCCCAAUUGCCCGCCUCACCCACCGAAAUCUCCCCGUCCUCCUCUCCUAUGCAACCGUCUCCGGUCUUCUGCUCAAGAUACCCCUUCUCCACUCCAUCCUUCGCUCACUCUCCUCGGGGCCUGUCCCAUCUCUCUCCCUCUCAUUCCUCUCCCUACUCCGCCGGUCUGGACACAUGCCCCUCGAUAACUACUCCCUUUGCGCUGCUCUUGGUACCGCCGCCCGCAUGCCCUCUGUUGUUGCUGGUGCCCAGCUCCAUGCUCUUUCCGAGAAACUCGGCCUAGGUUCUGAUACCUUUGUCCUCAACACUCUUAUCAACAUGUACUCGGCUUGUAGUUAUCCAUCUGCUGCAAGGUCAGUUCUUGAUUCUGCUCCCCAGGGGGCAUCUGAUACUGUUUCCUGGAAUACAAUCAUUGCUGGAUACGUGCGUGGUGGGCUGCCUAAGAAGGCUUUGCAGGCUUUUAGCCAAAUGGCCAAGGGGCAAGUUAGGCUGGAUGAUGUCACCUUGCUGAAUGCUCUAGUUGCUUGUGCAAAGACAUGCACUAUGGAGGUCGGAAAACUGUGUCAUGCACUACUUGUGAUGAAUGGUUUUGAGGUUAACUGUUAUAUGGGUUCCUCUUUGAUCAGUAUGUAUGCAAAGUGUGGGCUGGUUGAAGAUGCUCGCAGGGUUUUUGAUCGAAUGCCUGAGAGGAAUGUGGUUUGCUGGACCUCAAUGAUCUCCGGAUAUACACAGCUAGGUAAGUCUAAAGAGGCUGUUAAGCUAUUCAGAGACAUGCAGAUUGCUGGAAUGAAACCUGAUGACGCAACAAUUGCUACUGUUGUGUCUUCAUGUGGACAGAUGGGAGCACUGGACUUGGGAUGCUAUGUCCAUGCUUACUGUGAUGUUCAUGAUUUAGGAAAGGGCAUUUCCGCCAGAAAUUCAUUUAUUGACAUGUACUCAAAGUGUGGGGAUGUCAAAAAGGCCUACGAGAUAUUUCGUGGAAUGGUCAGGCGGGAUGGUUUUUCCUGGACGGUGAUGAUAAUGGGCUUUGCUGUGAAUGGCCUCUCUGGUGAGGCACUAGAUUUGUUUGCACAGAUGGAAGAAGAGGGUGAAAUCAUGCCAAAUGAGAUCACUUUCUUGGGUGUCUUAACUUCUUGCAGCCAUCAAGGGCUAGUUGAACAAGGAUACCAUCACUUUCAUUGCAUGUCCAAGAUUUACAGUAUUGCCCCGAGGAUUGAACACUACGGAUGCAUAGUCGAUCUCUUGGGGCGUGCAAAGCUAUUUGCAGAGGCACAACAAUUCAUUGAAGAUAUGCCUAUCGCUCCUGAUGUGGUAAUAUGGCGGUCAUUGUUGUUUGCCUGCAGAGCCUGUGGAGAGGUGGGAAUUGCAGAGUAUGCAGCGGAAAGGAUCCAAGAGUUGGAGCCAAACAUGUGUGGAGAGAAUGUUUUACUUUCUAAUGUCUAUGCUACCGCAUCAAGGUGGGUUGAUGCGAGUAAACUAAGGACAAGGAUGCACAAUAGCAGAGUGAUUAAGCGGCCUGGUUGCUCUUUCAUUGAAGUGGACGGAUAUGUGCACGAGUUCUUUUCAGGAGACGAUUCACAUUUUGAGACUGAAGCCAUAUACAACAUUCUUUUAGGGAUUAAUGCGCUGUUAGUAGCAGAGUCCUUCCUGAUGUGAAAGCUAAUACAUUUCUUACUUGUUGUUCUAUGAUCUUCUAUUUAUGAAAAGACAAAAUCUGUAGUAUGUCUACAUAUAUGCAUUUCCAUCAGAGGCUGGGAGUUUUUCUCCAGAUGUUACAGCAUCAGCCAUUUUAGGUCCCAGUUGAGUGUACACUAUUAUCCUUAUUUUAUUGGCAAUAAUGUAUGAAAAUGUUUCCUUCUGUACUGUAAACUUUGCCAGGUAAUAGUUCAAUACCCUAGAGGGUUUGCUGCGGUUAUACCAUGUCAAAAGAAAUUAGCUAUCAAUUGUAUGGAUUUACCUGUUUUUCUAUCGUGCUGUAUUUUUAUUUAGAAUCUACUAACCCAGCUCUGAUUUCUCUGUCUUUGAAUUCAGGGUAUCUUGUGCCCACUCACCUGUAUACCCUGCGAAUGUAAACCAGCAGACUGACAGGUUCAUAAACUCCAGAAUUUAGUCAUUUACCAACUGAGCAAUGGAUCGGAAGAAUCAAACUCCACAGGGGACUGGUCGAGAGGGUCAUAGUCAUCUUCUACAACAAAGAUCACAUACCGAUCGAGAAGUUUGUGUUCAAGCUUGCAGUGAGCCAAUCGUAUGGCUCAAAUAUAGA